GUUUAUAUAAAUUUCAUCUUUUAUAUUUUUAUAUUCUGCAUAUUGAUAGUUUUCCUUUCAUUUUCUAAAUCAAUAAAGUAUCAACCGUAUACUUAUCAUAAUGUCAGCAAUCAGGGUUGUCCCGAGUAAUAUUAGAAUUUAAGGCAAUUAAAAAUUGUGUCCUCCCCUGAAAUAUUAAAAAUUUAAAAAAUGUGACUCCUAUUGCCAGUUUUUCGAGAGAGGCCGGACUUGAUCCAGUUGAUCCCAUCGUGAGUGUUGGUCAGUCAGUGAUAGGUUCUAAAAGCGACCGCCACCAGAUAAAGUGUAUUCUACAUGAGCUAUGGCGACAUAAGUAAAUCAAAAAUAAUUACUAAUCUGUAUACCCGACGUUGCCUGUAUUUCUGCCACAUCAUUUAUAAGGAAAUAUUGUACUGUAUUAGUUUAUAUAAUUUAGUUAAUAUUAGUUUCUGGUUUUCACAGUUUUUCAUAGCUACAGUACAAAAUGUCUAUUUGUAAGCAAUGAUGAAAAAUAAAACAUUUUGGCGCAACUAUGAUGAUAUAGUAAUUCAUAUAUUGGAGCUUUUGUUAUUAUUACAUCAAUCAUUGUUUCGUCAUACGUCGAAAUUUUUAUGGUAUGCUUUGUUAUGUCAAUGCAUGUUGUUACAUAUUGCAUUGACGCAAUGAUGCUAUCCAUUGAUGACGUUUGUGACGUCAUGGAGACAUCACAUUUCUACGUCAACAACAGUCUGAGGGAUUUAAAUACAUAUUUUAAAUUACUAUCACAAAAUUCCCAACUCCUGAAACGAAUUUCAUCCAGAGUAGCCUAUGUUAUCAAAGAGUCAUGGGAAAUUGCAAAGUUUCUUUCAAAUAGUCAAACGGUAUGGGAAGCUAUGCGAAACACAAAGACAGACUGACAUCGCAUUUUAUGUAAAUAGAUUUAAAUUAUAUCUGUUGUACAUAUUUGAUUAAAAAUAAAUGGAUGUCAGAAAAUAAAAACUGGUUAAAAUGAUUUUUUAUUCUUAUAAGCAAUAUUUAUUUUAAAUAUACUGUAUAACAAAUACAUUUGUAAUAGUUAAAACAGCGCUGCUCAAAACUGUGAUUCGCUGAUCGGUACAAAUCCGCAACAAAAUGUCAUGUUUUCAGAAUCAUAACAUUAUAUAUUAUAGCUUAGUUUAUAGACAUUAUACUAACCAAACAUUAUAUAGUAAUAUGCACACUGGAUGAAGUCAGGAGGUAGGAGUGGGGAAAAUAUAUCUGUACCUAAUUUUGUUUCUUGAGACAAGUUGGAAAUCUUAUGCUAGUCUGUGAACAAAAAAAUUCUGGUUAGUGGAACACCGGAAAAAGAAAUAGCUGUCCCGUCACAUAAAAUAGUUUAAGAAACAUUGCUGUAGAGUACUGUAUUAUAUAUUUUUCGAUAAAAUCACAGAAACAUGAUAUACAAUUUAACGAUUUGUAUCAUUAUAUAUCGAUGUAAUUCUCUAAUAAAUAAGCAAUUGUUUGAUAAACAAUUGCAAGAACAAAAAAGACAUUUAAUUGCGCAAACAGAAAUAAUAACAAACAUCAAAAAUCAUCACAAAGAGCAGAAAAAUACAGAAAUGAAAAGAAAAAUCUGAAGUUUUUAUUUCUACAUUUUUCUGCUCUUUUUUGCUGAUUUUUGAUGUGACUUAUUUUUGUCUCUGAUAUUUUUCUUUGAAUAUCAAAGAAACAUAUAGAAUGUUGGCUAACUUGAUCCAAAUUCAGCAGCAGACCUAAUUCUCCAAUUCAUUAUUCUUUCACUAAAAUAUCAAAAUAUCAAUAACAUAAAGAUAGAGAGCCUAAACUGCUAUGAGUGUUAUUUAUACAUUCUUUUCUUCUUCUUCUCAUUACCAACUCAGCUAAGAUACCUAUAUGUAAGUUAUAAUGUAGGGACUCUUUCUUUUGGUAGUAAAAAUUGCCAAGAAAACUAAAAUAAUAAUUAUAAGAAAUUAACUCAAUUAAAU
rnacentral:lncRNA from 1 species